UNUGUCCAUUAGCUCAGUGUUUUAACUUGA
rnacentral:piRNA from 1 species